rnacentral:lncRNA from 1 species
GCCAUUUUCCUCCGGAAGUGCGGCACCCAGAGGCCGUCCUGUAGCCGGGCCGGCUUGGGGCUUGGUUCUAUGUCCCUGCGGGUCGGUGCAAGGGCGAAGAGGAACCCGUGGGCCUCAGGGGAUCCCGGGGGGCCGGACCAGUGUUCCCUAGUUGUGGGAGCAGACGCGUGGGCACAUUGCGGGCGGGCAGGGCCUGAAGUGCAGCUAUGUUUCCAGUGUCCUCUGGGUGUUUCCAAGAGCAACAAGAAAUGAAUAAAUCUCUGUUGAAGAGAUACCAUUUGACAUUUUAGAGAUGGCUGCAUGCAAACUCUUGAAACAUUUGACCACCCUCCAGGGUGCCCCGACUCACUUUCCCUGCAGAUGGAGGCAAGGAGGCUCCACAGACAACCCCCCUGCCUGAGGUCACAUAGUGGCCAGCAGGCCAGAGCUGGCGCAGAGAAAAUACAAGCUGAGCUUAGAACAUCUUCUGCCAGAAAGUAAAAAAGUGCCGACAGAGUAAUGGAGACAAAUCAAAGAGACAUAAAGUCAGCUUGGAAUGUCUACUACUGGCCUAAUCUUGGGGAAUUGGAGCAUCAGAAUCAUGAGCUUUCCUUCUCCCUUAUUUAUUGGUUUUAUUUCUCCAUGUAGAACAAAGAAGAGAAUAAGAAAAUAAUCAUCUGGUAACCAUCAUAGUAAUAAUUGUUCAAACACAAGUCAUCCAUGAAAUGCUAAAUCUAGUGGGUUCUGAGGAGUAACCAGAUAUUUACAGAGCCUCAAAGUAUCUCCAUACAAAAUACGGUUGAACUACAAAAAGAAAAUUGUAACAUUAGCAUGGACAAACCUGGCAGGUACUCCUUAACUCUCCUAAGUAAUAAAAACUGUAAAAUGCAAA